GUUGAACGCUGGCGGAAUGCUUUACACAUGCAAGUCGAGCGGCAGCGCGGGGCAACCUGGCGGCGAGCGGCGAACGGGUGAGUAAUGUAUCGGAACGUGUCCUUGAGUGGGGGAUAGCCCGGUGAAAACCGGAUUAAUACCGCAUACGCAGGAGACUGGAAAGCGGGGGAUCGCAAGACCUCGCGCUCUAGGAGCGGCCGAUAUCCGAUUAGUUUGUUGGUGAGGUAAAGGCUACCAAGGCGAUGAUCGGUAGCUGGUCUGAGAGGAUGAUCAGCCACACUGGGACUGAGACACGGCCCAGACUCCUACGGGAGGCAGCAGUGGGGAAUUUUGGACAAUGGGGGCAACCCUGAUCCAGCCAUUCCGCGUGAGUGAAGAAGGCCUCGGUGUAA
rnacentral:rRNA from 1 species